rnacentral:rRNA from 1 species
AGCGCAGGCGGGAAGACAAGUUGGAAGUGAAAUCCAUGGGCUCAACCCAUGAACUGCUUUCAAAACUGUUUUUCUUGAGUAGUGCAGAGGUAGGCGGAAUUCCCGGUGUAGCGGUGGAAUGCGUAGAUAUCGGGAGGAACACCAGUGGCGAAGGCGGCUUACUGGACGAUAACUGACGCUGAGGCUCGAAAGCGUGGGGAGCAAACA